UCUCCGAAUCUAUCACUGUCC
rnacentral:piRNA from 1 species